rnacentral:rRNA from 1 species
GACGAACGCUGGCGGCGUGCUUAACACAUGCAAGUCGAACGGUGAAGCGCCUUCCUUUUUGGUGGGUGUGGAUGAGUGGCGAACGGGUGCGUAACACGUGAGUAACCUGCCCCCUUCUUCUGGAUAACCGCAUGAGAGUGUGGCUAAUACGGGAUAUUCUGGGUCUGUCGCAUGGUGGGUCUGGGUAAGAUAUUGUUUUGGUGGGGGAUGGGCUCGCGGUCUAUCAGGUUGUUGGUGGGGUGAUGGCCUACCACGGCGGUGACGGGUGGCCGGCCUGGGAGGGUCGGCGGUCACACGGGGGCUGAGACACGGCCAAGACUCCUAGGAGAGGCAGCAGUGAGGCAUAUUGAACGAUGGGCGCAAGGCUGAUGCAGCGACGCGGCGUGAGGGAUGGAGUCCUGCGGGUUGUGACCCUCUUGCGGGAGUGAAGCAGGCCUGCCUCGUUUGUGGGUGGGUUGACGGUAGCUGGAUAAGAAGCGCCGGCUAACUACGUG